rnacentral:tRNA from 3 species
AUGAGGUAUAGUAUAAAUAUUACGUUUCGCUUACACUGAAAAUAUAGCUCAUG